AGAGUUUGAUCCUGGCUCAGAACGAACGCUGGCGGCAGGCUUAACACAUGCAAGUCGAACGCCCCGCAAGGGGAGUGGCAGACGGGUGAGUAACGCGUGGGAAUCUACCGUACCCCACGGAAUAACGCAUGGAAACGUGUGCUAAUACCGUAUACGCCCUACGGGGGAAAGAUUUAUCGGGGUAUGAUGAGCCCGCGUUGGAAUAGCUAGUUGGUGGGGUAAAGGCCUACCAAGGCGACGAUCCAUAGCUGGUCUGAGAGGAUGAUCAGCCACAUUGGGACUGAGACACGGCCCAAACUCCUACGGGAGGCAGCAGUGGGGAAUAUUGGACAAUGGGCGCAAGCCUGAUCCAGCCAUGCCGCGUGAGUGAUGAAGGUCUUAGGAUUGUAAAGCUCUUUCACCGAUGAAGAUAAUGACGGUAGUCGGAGAAGAAGCCCCGGCUAACUUCGUGCCAGCAGCCGCGGUAAUACGAAGGGGGCUAGCGUUGUUCGGAAUUACUGGGCGUAAAGCGCACGUAGGCGGAUAUUUAAGUCAGGGGUGAAAUCCCGCAGCUCAACUGCGGAACUGCCUUUGAUACUGGGUAUCUCGAGUAUGGAAGAGGUGAGUGGAAUUCCGAGUGUAGAGGUGAAAUUCGUAGAUAUUCGGAGGAA
rnacentral:rRNA from 1 species